rnacentral:lncRNA from 1 species
UCUUGCUGUCACAGUUUGUUUCAAUAUUCGCGCACGGAUCCGUGUUUUCAUGUGUGUCGUGCUCUCGGAAGUACCUUCGCCGUGAAGCGUCUCUCCCGGGCCAGUUGGAAAUAGUUCCGGGACAGGAUCAUAUCUGCGCCCGUUUGAGCCUGUUGUCUGAUGUACUGUUGCAAUUGCACUGGAAAUUCCGGCCUUUGACGGCCGCCUGGAAAUGUAUCUGUUCCAAAGCAGCUGACUGCUUCAACUUGACCUAAAUACUAGGUCUUUUUAUCACCCAACGUUCUAAUGUGUUUAGGACGCAGCGGCGGCGCGUGGUGCGCGGGCCUGCUGCUGCUCGCCGUGGCGCGCCCGCCGCCUGCGCGCGCGCAGCCCGCCGCCGUUACAGUUAGUACCGAUAAUGAAGUGGGAUGGCGGGUGACGGUGAGCGCGGUGUCGCCCGACGGGAG